rnacentral:rRNA from 1 species
AACGAACGCUGGCGGCGCGCCUAAUACAUGCAAGUCGAGCGAGAAGACGUAGCAAUACGUUUGUAAAGCGGCGAACGGGUGAGGAAUACAUGGGUAACCUACCCUCGAGUGGGGAAGUAACUAGCCGAAAGGUUAGCUAAUACCGCGUACGCUCCUUGGACUUCGGUUCAGGGAGGAAAGCGAUACCGUGGGUAGUCGCGCUCUUGGAUGGGCUCAUGUCCUAUCAGCUUGUUGGUGAGGUAACGGCUCACCAAGGCUUCGACGGGUAGCUGGUCUGAGAGGACGAUCAGCCACACUGGCACUGCGACACGGGCCAGACUCCUACGGGAGGCAGCAGUAAGGAAUAUUGCGCAAUGGGCGAAAGCCUGACGCAGCGACGCCGC